CACCAUCAGCUGCCUACAGUGGGGGCCCUUCAGAAUCUGCCAGCCGCCCACCCUGGGUGACCGACGACAGCUUCUCUCAGAAGUUUGCUCCCGGAAAGAGCACCACCUCUGUCAGCAAGCAGACCCUGCCCAGGGGGGCUCCAGCCUACAACCCAACAGGCCCACAAGUGACUCCUCUUGCCAGGGGCACCUUCCAGAGAGCUGAGCGCUUCCCAGCAAGCAGCCGGACUCCCCUCUGUGGGCACUGUAACAAUGUCAUCAGGGGUCCUUUUCUGGUAGCCAUGGGCCGCUCUUGGCACCCAGAAGAGUUCAAUUGUGCCUACUGCAAGACCUCCCUAGCAGACGUGUGCUUUGUGGAGGAGCAGAACAAUGUUUACUGUGAGCGGUGUUACGAGCAGUUUUUUGCCCCGAUCUGUGCCAAGUGUAACACCAAGAUCAUGGGGGUAAGUGAGCAG
rnacentral:lncRNA from 1 species